rnacentral:rRNA from 1 species
UACAGAGGGUGCGAGCGUUAAUCGGAAUUACUGGGCGUAAAGCGUGCGUAGACGGUUAUUUAAGUCGGGUGUGAAAGCCCCGGGCUCAACCUGGGAAUUGCAUUCGAGACUGAAUAGCUAGGGCACGGUAGAGGGAAGUGGAAUUUCCGGUGUAGCGGUGAAAUGCGUAGAUAUCGGAAGGAACAUCAGUGGCGAAAGCGACUUCCUGGACCAGUACCGACGUUCAGGCACGAAAGCGUGGGGAGCAAACAGG